GCUUACGGCCAUACCACCCUGAGAACGCCCGAUCUCGUCUGAUCUCGGAAGCUAAGCAGGGUCGGGCCUGGUUAGUACUUGGAUGGGAGACCGCCUGGGAACACCAGGUGCUGUAAGCU
rnacentral:rRNA from 1 species